rnacentral:tRNA from 1 species
UCCAGGGUAGCCUAGUCUGGACAUGGCAUCUGCACGGUAAGCGGAACACUGUGGGCUCGAUUCCCAUCCCUGGAC